CACUUUAACACUGAGGCGUGACGACGAGGCACUACGGUGCUGAAGCAACAAAUGCCCUGCUUCCAGGAAAAGCCUCUAAGCAUCAGGUAACACGAAAUCGUACCCCAAACCGACACAGGUGGUCAGGUAGAGAAUACCAAGGCGCUUGAGAGAACUCGGGUGAAGGAACUAGGCAAAAUGGUGCCGUAACUUCGGGAGAAGGCACGCUGACACGUAGGUGAAGUGAUUUACUCAUGGAGCUGAAGUCAGUCGAAGAUACCAGCUGGCUGCAACUGUUUAUUAAAAACACAGCACUGUGCAAACACGAAAGUGGACGUAUACGGUGUGACGCCUGCCCGGUGCCGGAAGGUUAAUUGAUGGGGUCAGCGCAAGCGAAGCUCCUGAUCGAAGCCCCGGUAAACGGCGGCCGUAACUAUAACGGUCCUAAGGUAGCGAAAUUCCUUGUCGGGUAAGUUCCGACCUGCACGAAUGGCGUAAUGAUGGCCAGGCUGUCUCCACCCGAGACUCAGUGAAAUUGAACUCGCUGUGAAGAUGCAGUGUACCCGCGGCAAGACGGAAAGACCCCGUGAACCUUUACUAUAGCUUGACACUGAACAUUGAGCCUUGAUGUGUAGGAUAGGUGGGAGGCUUUGAAGUGUGGACGCCAGUCUGCAUGGAGCCGACCUUGAAAUACCACCCUUUAAUGUUUGAUGUUCUAACGUGGACCCGUAAUCCGGGUUGCGGACAGUGUCUGGUGGGUAGUUUGACUGGGGCGGUCUCCUCCUAAAGAGUAACGGAGGAGCACGAAGGUUGGCUAAUCCUGGUCGGACAUCAGGAGGUUAGUGCAAUGGCAUAAGCCAGCUUGACUGCGAGCGUGACGGCGCGAGCAGGUGCGAAAGCAGGUCAUAGUGAUCCGGUGGUUCUGAAUGGAAGGGCCAUCGCUCAACGGAUAAAAGGUACUCCGGGGAUAACAGGCUGAUACCGCCCAAGAGUUCAUAUCGACGGCGGUGUUUGGCACCUCGAUGUCGGCUCAUCACAUCCUGGGGCUGAAGUAGGUCCCAAGGGUAUGGCUGUUCGCCAUUUAAAGUGGUACGCGAGCUGGGUUUAGAACGUCGUGAGACAGUUCGGUCCCUAUCUGCCGUGGGCGCUGGAGAACUGAGGGGGGCUGCUCCUAGUACGAGAGGACCGGAGUGGACGCAUCACUGGUGUUCGGGUUGUCAUGCCAAUGGCACUGCCCGGUAGCUAAAUGCGGAAGAGAUAAGUGCUGAAAGCAUCUAAGCACGAAACUUGCCCCGAGAUGAGUUCUCCCUGAGACUUAGAGUCUCCUGAAGGAACGUUGAAGACGACGACGUUGAUAGGCCGGGUGUGUAAGCGCAGCGAUGCGUUGAGCUAACCGGUACUAAUGAACCGUGAGGCUUAACCUUACA
rnacentral:rRNA from 1 species